UACGUAGGGGGCAAGCGUUGUCCGGAAUCAUUGGGCGUAAAGAGCGUGUAGGCGGCCAGAUAAGUCCGCUGUGAAAUCUCGAGGCUCAACUUCGAGCUGUCGGUGGAAACUGUCUGGCUAGAGUCCGGAAGAGGAGAAUGGAAUUCCUGGUGUAGCGGUGAAAUGCGCAGAUAUCAGGAAGAACACCCGUGGCGAAGGCGGCUCUCUGGUACGUGACUGACGCUGAGACGCGAAAGCGUGGGGAGCGAACAGG
rnacentral:rRNA from 1 species